AUUGAACGCUGGCGGCAGGCUUAACACAUGCAAGUCGAGGGACCGGCGCACGGGUGAGUAACACGUAUCCAACCUGCCCUUUACUCGGGGAUAGCCUUUCGAAAGAAAGAUUAAUACCCGACAUAAAGGAUGGGGAUGCGUUCCAUUAGUGUGUUGGUGAGGGAACGGCUCAGCAGACCUUCGAUGGAUAGGGGUUCGGAGGGGAAGGUCCCCCACAAUUGAACUGAGGCACGGUCCAAACUCCUACGGGGCGCUGGAGUAUGGAGUAUUGUGCAAUGGGCGCUAGCCUGAACCUGCCAAGUAGCGUGAAGGAUGAUGGCUUAUGAGUCGUAAUCUUCUUUUAUAUAAGAAUAUGUAUUAUAUGAAUAAGGAUCGGCUAACUCCGUGCCAGCAGCCGCGGUAAUAC
rnacentral:rRNA from 1 species